ensembl:lncRNA
AUGCAGAUAUGUUUUGCUCCGGGUUCUGACAUUCCUGGGAGCUUAGAAAAGGUGCCUUCAACCUGCCAGCCCUCGCUGCCUCCUGCCAGUGUUGGCACUGGUGCUGCCACGCACGUGCUGCUUUGUUUGCCCAGAGCAUGUGGAGGAGCUGCCCCGUGGGUCACUGGAGCUGUGCUGGCUGCUCCCACGUCUCUCUGGACCCUGCCCAGGUCUCAGCCUGACCAACAACUUCGUUGUUGCUGGAGGACUCCCCACAAAGGGUACAGCUCCCACCCGUUUGUUUCCUUCAGGCCGAGCUUGGCGCAUCGCUCCUGCUUCCCUCGCCGAGCACAUCAGCCACCUGCCUUCGUUUGGACAAGCCAAGGAACGAGGCUCUCCGGGCUGGAGCGUGCCAGGCUGGAAUGUGCCACCCACAGGGACAGCUUGGCACAAGCUGCAACGGGGAAGCACGUUUUGAACACGUCAAGCAAGUUCAUGAGCCUUUGGUGGCAUCAAACCCCGCGCAGUGGAGCCAGGAUGCAGCCCAGCAGGGCACAACUACGUAAGGACUUGAGCGUUCCCUCCCCAAAGUGUGGCCAAAGGGCUCAGGAAAUUUUGGAUCUCUUUGGAGCAGGGGGGCCCACACACACCAAUUGGGUUUACAACGCAUUUGACAGCUUUGCAGGACUCAAUUACAGAGGAAUUUACCCUAAAGAGACCCCUGAUGAAGGAAAUCCUGGGGUGGGUGAGAUGGCCACAGCCACGUUUUGCAAAGGAUUCAUGGGGGCAGGGAGAAGAGAGGUUGCUUUGCACCACAUCCCACCAGGAUUCACCCAUGGGGGCUGCACAUUCCAGGUCCUCCUGUGCUGGGAGAAAGGGGGUCUCUGUCCAGCCUUUUUCCCCUCAUUUACCUUUAGGGAGCACCUGGAGCAGCCCCUGCCAGCAGUCCCAGGGAAUGUGGGCUUUGCUCUCCAAGAGCAUCCCUUUCCCAUGGCACGUGCUCACCUACUGCUGGUAGAGGCAGAACAAGCCUGA